rnacentral:rRNA from 1 species
GAAUAGGGGGAAAGUGGGGAUCCCUUUACUAGGAAACGGUAGCUAAUACCGCAUAACGUCGCAAGACCAAAGGGGGGGACCUUCGGGCCUCUUGCCUCAAUGUGCCCAGAUGGGAUUAGCUAGUAGGUGGGGUAAUGGCUCACCUAGGCGACGAUCCCUAGCUGGUCUGAGAGGAUGACCAGCCACACUGGAACUGAGACACGGUCCAGACUCCUACGGGAGGCAUCAGUGGGGAAUAUUGCACAAUGGGCGCAAGCCUGAUGCAGCCAUGCCGCGUGUGUGAAGAAGGCCUUCGGGUUGUAAAGCACUUUCAGCGAGGAGGAAGGUGGUGAACUUAAUACGUUCAUCAAUUGACGUUACUCCCAAAAGAAGCACCGGCUAACUCCGUGCCAGCAGCCGCGGUAAUACGGAGGGUGCAAGCGUUAAUCGAAAUUACUGGGCGUAAAGCGCACGUAGGCGGUUUGUUAAGUCAUAUGUGAAAUCCCCGGG